rnacentral:piRNA from 1 species
UGAAUGCACUAUUUUUCAUCC